CAGCACCUCAAGUGGUCAGGAUGAUUAUUGGGCCUAAAGCAUCCGUAGCCUGCUUUGUAAGUUUUCGGUUAAAUCCAUACGCUCAACGUAUGGGCUGCCGGGAAUACUGCACAGCUAGGGAGUGGGAGAGGUAGACGGUACUCGGUAGGAAGGGGUAAAAUCCUUUGAUCUAUUGAUGACCACCUGUGGCGAAGGCGGUCUACCAGAACACGUCCGACGGUGAGGGAUGAAAGCUGGGGGAGCAAACCGGAUUAGAUACCCGAGUAGUCC
rnacentral:rRNA from 1 species